UACGAGAGGCCCAAACGUUAUUCGGAAUUACUGGGCUUAAAGAGUUCGUAGGCGGCAUUACAAGUAGGGUGUGAAAGCCCUCGGCUCAACCGAGGAAUUGCGCUCUAAACUGUCGUGCUCGAGGAACCUAGAGGUGAGCAGAACAGAUGGUGGAGCGGUGAAAUGCGUUGAUAUCAUCUGGAAUACCGGAGGCGAAGGCGGCUCACUGGGGGUUUUCUGACGCUGAGGAACGAAAGCCAGGGUAGCGAACGGG
rnacentral:rRNA from 1 species